rnacentral:rRNA from 1 species
UGCACCUGAUUGAUUUUGGUCGCCAACGAGUGGCGGACGGGUGAGUAACACGUAGGCAACCUGCCCAGAAGCGGGGGACAACAUUUGGAAACAGAUGCUAAUACCGCAUAACAGCGUUGUUCGCAUGAACAACGCUUAAAAGAUGGCUUCUCGCUAUCACUUCUGGAUGGACCUGCGGUGCAUUAGCUUGUUGGUGGGGUAACGGCCUACCAAGGCGAUGAUGCAUAGCCGAGUUGAGAGACUGAUCGGCCACAAUGGGACUGAGACACGGCCCAUACUCCUACGGGAGGCAGCAGUAGGGAAUCUUCCACAAUGGGCGCAAGCCUGAUGGAGCAACACCGCGUGAGUGAAGAAGGGUUUCGGCUCGUAAAGCUCUGUUGUUAAAGAAGAACACGUAUGAGAGUAACUGUUCAUACGUUGACGGUAUUUAACCAGAAAGUCACGGCUAACUACGUGCCAGCAGCCGGCUGGUAAAUACGUAGGUGGCAAGCGUUAUCCGGAUUUAGUUGGGGCGUAAAGAGAGUGCAGGCGGUUUUCUAAGUCUGAUGUGAAAGCCUUCGGCUUAACCGGAGAAGUGCAUCGGAAACUGGAUAACUUGAGUGCAGAAGAGGGUAGUGGAACUCCAUGUGUAGCGGUGGAAUGCGUAGAUAUAUGGAAGAACACCAGUGGCGAAGGCGGCUACCUGGUCUGCAACUGACGCUGAGACUCGAAAGCAUGGGUAGCGAACAGGAUUAGAUACCCUGGUAGUCCAUGCCGUAAACGAUGAGUGCUAGGUGUUGGAGGGUUUCCGCCCUUCAGUGCCGG